UACGAAGGGGCUGAGCGUUGUUCGGAAUCACUGGGCGUAAAGCGCACGUAGGCGGAUCUUUAAGUCAGAGGUGAAAUCCCAAGGCUCAACCUUGGAACUGCCUUUGAUACUGGGAUCUUGAGUCGGGAGAGGUGAGUGGAACUGCGAGUGUAGAGGUGAAAUUCGUAGAUAUUCGCAAGAACACCAGUGGCGAAGGCGGCUCACUGGCCCGGUACUGACGCUGAGGUGCGAAAGCGUGGGGAGCAACAGGGAUUAAGAAACCCCA
rnacentral:rRNA from 1 species